UGCAGUGUCUAACAGUGUCUCACAGCAGCCGCCGAGCGAAUGCACAGAGUAACGUUAUAACAUCAUUUUCAACACACUCAAAUGUAUCUAAUAUGAUAAACAGAGCUGCAUUACCUCAUACCAAAGAGUUUAUUCUUUGCUCAUACUCAUGCAGCGCUACUACUACUACUACUACUACUAGUAGUAUUAUCUUCUUUUAAUAAUAAUUACUAUUAUCUGUUUUUUUACAUAAACACUGAUUGACAAACAAUAUCUUAAGCCCCAACACCAGUUCUGGUUAGUUAAAAUGACAAAUAUGCGUUCAUGGUUACCGAGUUUUAGUUCUCGUUAACCCUGUAAAGCCCACUUUUGCAGAAUUACAACAUCACUUUCAACAAUUUUUAAAAAAUGCCUGCAAAUGUUUUUUUUCUCUCAAGACCACAUUUACAUAGUUAAUGGGUUUUGUUGUUUGUCCUCACAAUGCUAUUGGACAGAAUAAGUGUUUAUAGGUCCGGUCAUCUGGCCACGAACUCACUCUACCUGCAAACUUCACGUCAAGCUCAUCUCCUUUUUUUACAUGACAGGAUUUGUCAAGAUUCAAAAUGCCAAGAUGUCAUCGGACCACCAUCCACUGGAUGUACGCAAAGACAUGAUUGCACAUUUCCCAGUAAAGACGAAGAGAGGACGCUGCAGACACUGCAAUAAUGGAUACACAAAUACACUGUAUCAAGUCCAAUGUUCACCUGAGCUUCUCAGAUGAACAGAACUGUCUUAGGGACUAUCACUGCAAAACUCAGACUUCAUUCAAACCACACUGAAAGUGAUAGAAGAAAAAGAUUUAUAAAUACAAUUUUUUCCAAUAUUUUUAUUAAUAAAUGCUUAUUCAUAAAAA